rnacentral:tRNA from 1 species
GACACUUUGGCCGAGUGGUUAAGGCGGCGGCCUGCUAAGCCGUUGGGCUAUGCCCGCGAGGGUUCGAAUCCCUCAGGUAUCGUCA